GUGGGAACCUGAAUGGAGAACUGAAUUUCCAGGUUCACUGGCCAAGGACAGCUGACAGUGUCUCAGUUGUAGGUCUGAGAAUAAGAUUUUCUGGUCCCAUCAAAUCUGAUUGACAAGCAUUCUUCUUUAUGUAGUGCCUAAGGUUCUGGUAGGCUCCAGACCCAGGGAGACCAUUUCUCAACUUCCAUAUCCCAUCCCAGAUAGUCAAGGGUUUCUUGUAGUCCUCGACUUUUCAGUCUGGGGUCUCUAUGCCAUUUCAACCCCAAUUUCAUGAGGUGGUAUUGAAGUACCAUGCAGUAAUUGUUUAAAUUUUACAAUGAGAGGUCAUUUAAAGUAGCCUUAAAACCAAGAGCUUUCUGACAGAAAUGGAAAGUAUUUGCAAAUGAGUAUGAGUUUGGGGACAGUAACCUCUUGUAGCUAGAACUAUUUGGCCUUGCCUUUUAGUCUUCAUCUGCCUUUAUACAAU
rnacentral:lncRNA from 1 species